AGAGUUUGAUCCUGGCUCAGAGCGAACGCUGGCGGCAGGCCUAACACAUGCAAGUCGAGCGCCCCGCAAGGGGAGCGGCAGACGGGAGAGUAACACGUGGGAACGUGCCCUUCAGUUCGGAACAACCCAGGGAAACUUGGGCUGAUACCGGAUACGUCCGAAAGGAGAAAGAUUUAUCGCUGAAGGAUCGGCCCGCGUCUGAUUAGCUAGUUGGUGAGGUAACGGCUCACCAAGGCGACGAUCAGUAGCUGGUCUGAGAGGAUGAUCAGCCUCAUUGGGACUGAGACACGGCCCAAACUCCUACGGGAGGCAGCAGUGGGGAAUAUUGGACAAUGGGCGCAAGCCUGAUCCAGCCGUGCCGCGUGGGUGAUGAAGGCCCUAGGGUUGUAAAGCCCUUUCGGCGGGGAAGAUAAUGACGGUACCCGCAGAAGAAGCCCCGGCUAACUUCGUGCCAGCAGCCGCGGUAAU
rnacentral:rRNA from 1 species